AAUUUACUUUACCAUUGGUAAAAUAUACGAUGGUGUGUGUGUGUGUGUGUGUGUGUGUGUGUGUGUGUGUGUGUUUGUGUGUGAUGGUCAAAAUGAUGGCUUCACAGAAUCCUCUGUUUUAAGAGCCUGGACUAAUGUUUCUCCCCCCAAAGACAAAAUCUUGCUGUUACCUAGGCUAGAGUGCAGUGGCACAAUCUUGGCUCACUGCAACCUCUGCCUCCUGAGUUCAAGCGAUCCUUCUGCCUCAGCCUCCCAAGUAGCUGGGAUUACAGGCAUGCAUCACCAGACCUGGUUAGUUUUUGUAUUUUUAGUAGAGAUGUUAGAGGGGUGAGGAGUGUAGUGUACAGAUAUCUCAAAUCACAGUUACAACAAAACUAGUCAAAAUUUAGCAUACACUUAUCAGCUAUACACAUAAUCCAAAAGUGUAAAAAUAAUUCUAGAACAAAUGUUUAGAACAUCACAGCAAAGUUGAUAAAAGAGCCUGUUAACACUUUUUGCUCCUCAGCUAACCUCAACUUUGUUCAAAAAGGACGUGAGAGGUAAGACCCAAUUGUGGCUGCAAAUAUCCCUGAAUUCCUUCCUUUCCUCUCACUUCCUCCUCCCUGUCUGUGUCCUGAAUCACAGCUACACCUGUUCCCCUGGGAGAUCAUCCACUGUUUGCUCUCUGGAAGAAGAAUUCUCAGAUGCAAGGAAUUCUGGUGAUCUCAUAAAUGACAGCACUGGAAAGGGCCUUUCCCUAAUCCCAGCAGCCAUGUGGCAUCUCCUGAUUAGCAAGUGUCUGCAAACAGUAGACACACUUUCCAGAAUGCGGAUGUUUUCAUUUUCUCAGAGUGAAUUGUUUUUCCAAAAUGUGCACUCUUUCACUUAACUCUGUAUGAACAAGAGUUGACUGCUGUGUCUCCUCAAAUCUAAGAUCCACUAAUUAUAAUAUAUACCAUUAUUGGCCAGGCCCAGUGGCUCACACCUGUAAUCCCAGCACUCUAGGAGGCCAAGGCGGGUGGAUCAUGAGAUUUCAUCAUGAAAAGGAGGAAGCUCAAACUGAAUGUUUUUGUUUAUAUGCAAGUGCAAUGAAGAAGAACACCAGCAAAUCUACUAUGAGGAUCAAUAAGCAAGAUGCUCUCUGCACCCCACACUCCCAUGAUCCAGGACAUCUUCAAAAUAUGUUGGAUGGAGGAGAGUAUGCUCCUUUUGUAUCUCCUCCCAUGUUAGAGAGCAAUUUUAUCCAGGUCAACAGGAGAGGUGAAUCCAUUUACCUUCAUAACCGAGCCAACUGGGUGACUGUAGGCAUCUGUUCUUCCAGCUCUACCCACAAGAUCCCCAAUGUGAUGCUACUGGCACAUCUGACACCUGGUACUCAAAAAGAUACAGAAUCCCUGUUUAAAAGUCUCCUGACAUCUCCUCCUGCAGAGAAACUGGUGCUCACCAGGUUUCUCCCUCUCCAGUUUGUGACUCUUUCUGUGCAUGAUGCUGAGAACAUGCGCCUGAAAGUAAAGCUGGUGAGUGGUCGCGCCUACUACUUACAGCUCUGUGCCUCUGCAUGUAAACAGGACACCUUAUUUUCUCAGUGGGUGGCCCUCAUCUACCUCUUGAAUCAGGAGAAAGCCAAAGUUUCCAAAGUGUCAGAGGUUUCAAGUCUCUCGGGAAUUACGAAUAGCACAGACAUCACAGGCUCCAUGAACGUGAUGGAUAUCACAGCAUUCACAGCCAUCCCGAUCCCAUACAUGCAUGCAGGUACAGGCCCUGUACAUGUCAGGGACAGCAUAGAUUUCUCGGAAUUCACAGACAUCACUGACAUCACAGAUGUCACAGAUCUUCCAGAAAAUGAGGUCCCAGAGGUCCCAGAUGUAAGAAUUGUCACAGAAGUCACAGAAGUCAGAGAAGCCACAGAAGUCACAGACAGCUUGGAUGUUACAAAAUGCUCAGGAGUCACAGUCAUGUUUGAAAACAAUGACUUAAUCAGGGCCAAGCAAGAGGAAAAGGAAAAAAUGAAAGACAUUCUGAAGCCUGGGUGUCUACAAGAUACAAAAAGUAAGAGUGAGUUGAAAGAAUCCCCAAAACAUGUCACCAUCUCAAACCUAACAGUGACUUUUGAAGAUAAAGGAUAUUUUCAAACUACCUUGACUCCAGUAGAAAGUGAGGCAAAUACAUCCAAGGAGAUGGAGGAUAAGACCUCUGAAGAAAAGAUGUCCGAUUUUAAGAGCACAGCUCUCAAGGCUGAAGAAUCCAGGAGCUUGAGAACUGAAUCAAACACUUCAGGGAAUGAAUGUGAGGAAAGAAAAGUAAAAUAGAAAAAGACAAAAUUGAUGAAAAAACAUGUAAGACAACCAGCCUAAAGACGGAUUCUUACUCUGUCACCCUGUCUGGAGUGCAGUGGCACAAUCUCGGCUCACUGCAACCUCUGCCUCCUGGGUUCAGGCAGUUCUCCUGCCUCAGCCUCCUGAGUAGCUGGGAUUACAUGCACAUACCACCAUUCCCAGACUUUUGAUUAAAUGGACUGCCUUCACCUUUUUUUAAAAAUCAGAUACAAACUACUGAAUGAAAAAGCAAACACAGCUCAGGAAAAGACAAUCAGUGCAAGAGGAAAACCAAGCAGUGUCUUCUAUGUGGCAGAAAUAAAGCCUACUGCUAAUCAUUAAGAAUUCAAAUCCAUGUCAAUCUAAUUUGAUAAAUCUUAACUAAUUUAAUUAUGGAUAUUUAUUUUAAAGGAAGCUAGAGGACUAUGCAAAAACAAGAUUUCCAAUUCAUAAACUCAGUUUUUACCUGUGGGAUUUCUUUUCUUUGGGAUUGAUGGAAAAUUUUGUUAUUCUCUUGUUUUUCCUUUUCUCAUUUGUACAUUAGUCCAACAUUGUUUUGUUUCUAACACUGGACAAUGUGAGUUGACUGAACGUGGGGACUAUGUUCAUCUUUUGUUCUAGCUGACUACCUGGUGCUGAGAGACAGUAUUUAUGGAAUCAAUGCGUAAUUUUUAAACAGGUUAAAAAAAUCCAUAUACUUUUAAAAAUAAAAAAGAAACUACAGACAGUCCCCAUACAGAGAAUAGUUUGACUUUUAUUUUUACUUUUUGAGACAGUCACCCUCUUUCACCAAGCUGGAGUGUAAUGGCAUGAUCUUGGCUCACUGCAACCUCUGCCUCCCAAGUUCAAGCGAUUCUCCUGCCUCAGCCUCCCAUAAAGCUACAGGUACAUACCACCAUACCCAUCUAAUUUUUGUAUUUUUAGUAGAUAUGGGGUUUCACCAUGUUGAGAUGGUCUUGAUCUCUUGACCUCGUGAUCCGCCUGCCUCCUAAAGUGCUAAGAUUACAGGCGGGAGCCACUGCACCUAGCCAGUUUGACUUUUUAAAAGCCAUCACUUAUUUUCUAAAAGCUGCUAAUUAUUCUAAAACAUGUUUUUAAUGUAUUAUCUCACUUAAUCUUCACAAUAAUAUAAGGGACACUAUUAUUUUCCCUGUUUUACAGAUGGUAAAAGUGAAGCCUAGAGGUUAAAGUUACUUGUCCAGGUCACACAGCUAGAAAAUGGUGGAGAUGGCCUUUGAACCCAAGAAGCCCAACAGACAAGCUAAACACAAAUUUGUGAUUCACAUUAACUCAUAUUUUAAAUUCAGAAUAAGGAUAGUUAGGUUUUUAAAAAGCUAUGGAAAUCUAUUUAAGUCAAAUCUCACACAAACAGUCCUGGUUUUUCUACUGUAAACUGAGAAUAUCUCUCAUCUCCAUCUUUCUUUUCCUGUCCCACAGGCAACUCUCUAGAAUUGCGUAGUCCCACACAGUGGCCACUAGGCAUAUAUGGCUAUUGAGCACCUGCAAUGUAGCUAGUGUGACUGAGAAACUGAAUUUUAGAUCCUUUUUAACAGAUCUAAAUUCUAAUUUUAAAACUAGAACAAUGUACAAUAUUUUUCUAUGAACAUGACUUUAUUGUUUUGGUAGGGCUACCUUGUUCACUUCAACUGUUGAAAAUCUAGUGUCUAGGGCUGGGUGUGGUGGCUCACUCCUGUAAUCCUAGCACUUUGGGAGGCCGAGGUGGGUGGAUCACCUGAGGUCAGGAGUUCAAGACCAGC